rnacentral:tmRNA from 1 species
GGGACUGAAAGGAUUCUACAUUUUACUUUUUUACUUAUACUCUUGAAUAUAUAACUGCUACCAUCAAUCAAUUUUUCUCUAAAAAACAAUUAGUAUUUGCUUAAUAUUUAAUUCGAUUAAGUAAUUAAUUAUAUCAAUAAUUAAUUAGCUAUGUUAAUGUUGAUUGCAUAUAACAUUAAGUUAUUUAACCAUGUAUAAAAAACAUUUAAAGGAGUUCCGUAAAAUGGACGUGGGUUCGAUUCCCACCAGUUCCA